UGGAUUUGGUUCUUCUUUUCAACAACGUAAAAGGAAGGUGCGACUCCCGCGUGCUCGUAUAAGUAUCGGGUUUUGAACGGUAAACCAAAACCAAGAAACGGGGGAAAGAUUUCUUGUUUGUAUUUCGUCUUCUCGCCGACCUCUUCCCGUUGCCUCUUACGAUCUGCCUUCACCAAGGAGGGAGAGCACGAACGCAGCAUGGCGAUGGCUGGUUUCCGGAUCUCAGACGGAUGAAGGUUUCUUUGACAAGCUUGUGGAUGACGAGUUUCGGAUGGAUGGUUCUUCUGCAACUGAGUUAUUGGAGGACCGCUGUUGUGAUAUCUCCAACUCAAGACCUGAAUAAUCAAGAAGAAAGAAGAUUUAAGGAAUUGGGUAGGAGGUGCCUGCUGAAGCGGUAAAUAGAUGCUAGGUAUCUCUUGAAAACCUGAUAAAGUGUCAUGAACUUCCUGACUAUGUUUUUCUUUACUUUUUGUGUAGACUGAAAGACUGGCAUCCAGUUGGACUGCUAACCUAAGUAUUUGCAAAUUUACAUUUUAUCUUCUAUCUUCUGUGGUACCCCAUGGGCUUGUGUCUUUUUAUGUGUAUGGAUGGCAAAUGCAUGUCUUAUGUGCCUCUUGCAUGCACAUACAGUUCAAAUGCAUGUGUAAUUCAUGUGUUAGUAUGCAUGUGUGAUGGGAACAAAUCUAUAAUGUUGUUCUUUCAUCUUUAAUGGUAUAACAAUCUUAAUGGUAUAACAAAUUACUGUGUUCCAUGCAAAAAAAAAUUAGUUCAACCUGGUUAUGUUUUCUUAUUGGAAUGAAGAAAUAAGAACGCACUACAUGCUCUCAUAAUUGAUGGCACAAGCCUCAUUGAAGUCAUGUGCUUUGUAUGCUGUUUCCUAUCCUUUAUAGUUUUUUGAUAUGGCAGCCUUUCUUUUAAAUUUGUAAUCUUAUAUAUUUUGUUUACAGGUACACAUGAAAUUGCACUGUUGAACACGAAAGGAUACUCUGUUGCAGCAUGCUUAGAGAUAGGGUUUUACUUUCGCUAUCUUUUUUAUAUUUUUUAAUAUUUUAAUGUUAGUCUCAUGUACUUAUGUGGCACAGUUUGCUAUAAUCUCUUUACAAAAAAUAGUCUUUAGUGGUAUUUUCACUUUCUUUGAAUAUUCAAACUUUUACCUUAUGUUUGUUAUUAAUGGUGGGGGAAAGCACAAUAUCAGAUGGAGGCCGUUGUUAAUAGCUAAAGGCUGGAUUGCUUUGCAGCUCAGGUACACAUUAAAUUUCACUGUUGAACACGGAAGGAUACAAUCUUGCAGCAUGCUUUACCUUUACGCCUCGAGGUGUUUAAAGGGUGAAAUGCCUUUAGGCAUGUGAAUUUCCUGAGAACAAUACUUCCCAUGAAUUUGAAAGAGAAACUGUCUCAAAUACAUGUCAACUCUUGAGAAGCCAUUUCCCAAUAUUCUAAUGGUUGCCUCUCAAGGUAUCACAGUAGGUCACUCGGAAGAGCCAAACAUGUAAUUGUCAAAGCAUGUUUGGCAUCUAAUUUUGUUCUCAUUGCUUGAUACCGUUGACUGUUCUUCAUUUGUUCACAUUAAUAUUUGAUCAACUGAAUUCUUUGUCAAAAUUAGAUAUCAUUUAUGGGAGCACGUUUUUGUUCAAUGGAAAGCCUUAGUUAGAGCUUCAAAUGUACUUGGGAUCAGAUUCAAAUUUGAUAGAUUGGUUAUCAGAUUUUGUUUAGGUUUAGACAUCUGCAUUUAAAUCACUGUUCGUUUGGAUCUGAAAUGUGUAUGUUUUUUUUUUCUUUAUCACUCCUUAUCUGAUCCAGCAUGUUACCUGUCACCUUUUGUCACUGCCUGUAAGAGAAUUGAUGAAGUUCAUUUUUUUACCUAGUCAACGCAUUUGGUUUUUCAAGCACCCUUCUCUUUAGAGAGAGAAGAGUUUCUACCUCCAAUGAGAUAUGUCAUUUGAUGUCAAGAUCAUUUCUAAAAAAAGAACUUUUCCAUCUUGCUUAAAAACAUUUUAAACGCAUUUUUCACACAAUGAUAUGCCUUCAUUUUAUUUUUAGUACCUCCUCGAGUACUAGGAGAAAAUUUCAAAUUUUUGUCGUCAAUCAAUGGAAGAGGAAAACUUGAAAAAUCUUGAGUAUGAACAAUGAGGAAAAAUCCUAUGAAGCUGAGAAAGUCAAGAAUAGGAGAUGCUAUUGACUCUGCUAAUUAAGCAUCUGCAAGGAUUUAGCAAGAAAAUACUCUAAGAGAGAAGCCACAAUGCUCUGUAAAAUCUUGACAGGUAGCAAAAUGAGAGUUGAAAGAUGGGCUCGGGGCUUGUGUAGUUGUUCUUCUAGGUCGGUAAUCAAGAGUACUGGGUAGGCAUAUAGGUGAUUUAUGUCUAUGCUGCGAAGAUUACUGAGUUAUAAACUUUUGGAUCAUUGAAAGCCCGUAAGGUGAAGCGGGUUGGAUUCGUGACAAAACUACAUAUAACCACUAAAGUGGUGGAGCUUCGUAGUAGCCUUUGGGGUGGUGAGGUAUUCCCUCAAAGGUGAAGGUCGGCCUGAAAAAUGAAAUCGAAAGGCAAAAAGCCAAAUGCAAAAAAAUGAACGAAACAAAGGAAAAAGAAGAAGAAAAAAACAAACAAAAUGUUUCUUUCAAGGAAUGAAAGACAUGAUGGCUGAACUUGCAGAAAUUGAAUGCGACAAUAUUUUGCAGAUGUGUAAUUUUGGAGUCGAGUCUACUCCUCUUUUUGAUUUCCUAAGAUGUUGAGGACCAUUCCUUUAUGUUCAUAUUUUGGAAAUUGAGAGAGAUCCCUUCUAGAGAUUCAACAACAUUGAUGUGAAAUGGAUCCUGAUGCUUGUACAGUACUGCGAGUAAAUGAAAGGCAUAUUAUUUACACAACACGAGCACUCAAGCUUAUGAGUUGAUGGAUGAUUUAUGAACUAUUUCAAACUAAAAGUUUGACAUCUCCUGUGAUAUUUCUUGGUUUUCUGAGUGUAGGAGACACUAACCCAAUCCCCCUUUAGUCUUGUAAUAUACUGCCCCUUUCAUUACCAAGCUACUAGUACGUUAAUUGAAUACACAAAACCUUUCAUAUACCCAAGUUGAGUGUGAUGCCCAUCAUCUCCUCUAUCUUAAGAGAGACAUGCCUUUCAAGAUAGAAGAUUGAACCAGAAUCAUCAUUUCAUCUUAAUUGUCUUAGUUGCUUGGUUUUCAUUUCAUUGUUAUUGUGGACCAACUAUCCCUGUGGCCAAAUAGGCUUGAAAAAGUCAGCCCAUGACAAUUUGGUUAUUUUGAUAAGUAUAAUCUGAUCAAGUUCAUGGGUGUGUUGGUUGUGUCACAUUCUGGUAUAGUCUUUGAAUUACAUAUCAUACAUUGCUUAGGUUUGUAGGUUGCUAGACUGAAUAUCUAUGAAUAUCUAUGAGAACCACUUUGCAUCUCACAUCCAACUUUCGUUAUGAUACAAUCAUGUGUUUUGCUAACAUGGGAGCCUACAUUUUAAAAAUAUGCCAAGCUAUUUUGUUCACAUCCAACUCGGUUAUGAUACAAUGGUGUGGUUGCUAACAUGGAAGCCUACAUUUUAAAAAUAUGCCAAGCUUUGUCUCUAGAGUGCUAGAAAAGUUUUGGUUUCUUAGAAUGCAGUUUUUCCAGCAGGAGAAGAAACUGAACUACUGGUUGGUUUGAACAAUGGAGGUAAUUGUGGUUGUUAUCUUUGCCUAUGUUGGAAAGUUCAUUAAGCAUGUCAUGUUUCUUUCGAUCUCGAAAAGUGAGAGCAUACCGUCCAUUGGUUCCAGAAUUUCUUUAUCCAUGCAUCAUUCUGCAUCAGUAAUUUGAAAAAGCAGUAAAUUGAAAAAACCAUCUUCAUUUUUUCUGCUCAUUGUUUUUGUGAUCAAUGCUUAAUUCUUAGACAACGGGGUUGAGUUGUUUCCAGUAGUAUUUAAUUAAGAUACCCUGCCCAUGCAAGGGAUACGUCUCAUAUCUGCAUUAGGAAGGUAACAUGGCCUGCAACGUUUGCAAGCAGUCUGUAUUCUAUAUUAAUGCUAUUAGAUUGUUUCUUGCCUUGUUAUGUUCAGUGCACGAAAGUUCCUUAGAUAUGUAAAUGACCAAUUGCUUGAGCAACUCAUAUAAAUAUCAUCUUAAUUGUCCUUUUUUAACUGUUCCAACAGAGGACAGAGUUGUAUGAAUUAUGGUGAAGGUUUUGGGCAAUUCUCAGUUUGACUUGCAACCGUUCCAACCAUGUAAAGUUGUCUAUGCACACAUCUUGGCUGUGGUAGGAAUGGUCCCAGAAGAUUGAGAUCUAACGAUGGACAAAAGGUCAUAAAGAAAACGGGGGUGGAAGAAACCAUACUAGGACCCGACCUGGUUUGGGUUUUGUUACUUGAGGCCACGCAACCUUCCCCCAUCCUCUCUUGCCUCCUCCGCCCCUUUAUUCCUCCUCUUCCUCUGCUCAUUGCUUUACCUCUACAAGGAAGCCCUUCCGCCGAGCAGCCCUACUCCAUGCGACAUCCAGAGUUGGCAGCUGUUGGGCAAUGCCUGGAAGAUCAGACUCCUCCUUGGUAUGGCAGCAGACGCUAGGUUGGGGGCGCUGGGUUAUCUUGACCUGGUUAGGGUAGAUUUGGGGAUUUCUAGUUUCAUGCCCAAGUCUCGCAGCUUCUGGCUACAACUCAAGUCAAGCUUGUUCUUUUAUAGGAUGAUGUUGGCACAUUAUUUCUUCUUGAUUUUGUAGGUCAUAGCAUGGAGCUGCCGCAGUUGUGUCAUAUCUAUCUCUCUCUCCCUCUCUUUCUUCUUUAUCACAUUUAAUCUUCUUUAUUGCAUUUAAUGUGCUUCUUUAUUAUAUUUAAUGUUGUUCUUUACA